UGUUUUCCAGGGUGAUGAAGAAGGACCAAGUGGUGCCAGUGAAGAAGAGGACACAUGAAGACUUCCCAUCCCUCGUGGAAAACACCCCUUCCCUGUGUGUAUGUGACAGCGUGUAUGUAAUGGCUUCUGAUAUCUGUGAAAGCUGCCUGGCAACAAACUUCUUCCACUGGAUAUGUCCCCAGGUCCACAGCAGGCACACAUGUCUUCAAGGGACAACAAGUUUUAUGCAUACUGAC